GAUCCAUGGCAGAAGCCUUGCCCACACACUUGUUGAGGGCCAAAAGCAUACACAGCUAAGGAGCGAGUCCUCUCAGGGCCCAGAAAAACAUUUGGCAACCUUCUGCACCAACACUGGAACUGGCUUCAUCUGGUGGAUCUUUCCCUUGCAAAGGACCGAGAAAACCCCUCCAGGGCUGGCUGUUCCAAAGCAGAGGCGCACAGCCAGAUGUCCAAACCUCUUGGUUUGAAGCCUUCUGUGAAGAUCCCCAAACCGGAGUCCUCCAGUUCUCUUGGCCAUGCUGUUUGGGAAUGAUGGGAACUGCAAUCCCUACAUGGCAUUUGAAAUCAGAACCGGAUGCUGUGGUUGUGAAGCAUUUGCCCAGGGAGAAGAUGCAUGGUUUGUUUGGAAGGAAAUCCAAGGAAACAAUGUGCCGUCCCACAAAUGCAACUUAUUUGACAUUUGCAAUCUGAAAGCGUCAAGUUCAUCCCUUUAAAAAACUGAAAUAAUGGCGAGGGAUUAAAAUAAAGAAACACAUCUCAUUCUU